rnacentral:rRNA from 2 species
ACGGGGUGCAGCAGGCGCGAAACCUUUGCAAUGUGAGCAAGCACGACAAGGUUAAUCCGAGUGUUUCCUGCUAAAGGAAUCUUUUGUUAGCCGUAAAACCACUGAUGAAUAAGGGGUGGGCAAGUUCUGGUGUCAGCCGCCGCGGUAAAACCAGCACCUCAAGUGGUCAGGAGGAUUAUUGGGCCUAAAGCAUCCGUAGCCGGCUCUGCAAGUUUUCGGUUAAAUCCAUUUGCUUAACAAAUGGGCUGCCGAAAAUACUACAUAGCUAGGGAGUGGGAGAGGUAGACGGUAUUCGGUAGGAAGGGGUAAAAUCCUUUGAUCUAUUGAGGACCACCUAUGGCGAAGGCAGUCUACCAGAACACGUUCGACGGUGAGGGAUGAAAGCUGGGGGAGCAAACCGGAUUAGAUACCCGGGUAGUCCCAGCUGUAAACGAUGCAGACUCGGUGAUGCGCUGGCUUGUGGCCAGUGCAGUGCCGCAGGGAAGCCGUUAAGUUUGCCGCCUGGGAAGUACGUACGCAAGUAUGAAACUUAAAGGAAUUGGCGGGGGAGCAC